CUCAGUACUACAUCUCUCUCUGUAUAUAUACUCACCACUACAUCUCUGUCUCUCUCUAUAGGUAGAUACUCUCACUACUAUAUCUCUGAACUCAACAUGAGAUUGGAUCUCCCUGCUCAGGAGAGAUGAUGCCGGCCAAUCUCUCUGACACAUGGCCGGCAUCAUCUCUUCUAGGCCGGGACCAUCCCAUCACACACACAUGAUGCCUCCGUGUGCACUCAUCCCACAAUGUGCAUGAUCCUACAUGUUGAUGCGGCCUCAAGCAAAGGGUGAUGAACCAGAUCAUCAUUUUCUGAGAAGAUACGAGAUGGAUUGGUUGCUAUAGAUUCAACACCUCCAAGACGUCUAUUAUUUCAGUCAUGCUGGCAAAGGAGGAGAGAGAUAGAAAGAGCAGCUGAGUGAUGCCUUUGCUCUGAAAGGCCUUGUCGGCUCAGUGAUGCCUAUGCUCUGAAAAGUAACAAAAGAGAAUCAUUUCAUUUGGGACCAAAGCCCUUUUUAUUUUUAUUUUUUGGGGUGAGCAUAGAUAUGUUUGACACGAGCUAACCUAAAUGCUGCUAGCCGCUAGCCUCCUUCAAAAGUGUUAAUUCAGUGGGGAUUUGAGUCCCUAUCAUUUGGUAAAAAUGGAGUCAAAUAUCUUAUCAUAGGGCUUGACAAUACUAUCGCGAAGACAGGGACCCUUCUCUAUUUUCCAAAGGUGGAUAGGGUAGAAGGUUCAACGUUUUUAUCCAAAAAUUGUACACAAUGAGAUCAUUAUUUACAACCAUCCGAAGUGAAACUUGUUAGCUUCGGUAUAUGACAAAGUUUAAGAAAAAAAUUUUGAAGCUUGAACUUGGUCAAUGGAAUAAAUGCAACUAUUUAAUUCUUA